AUGGAAGCGUUUGAUAAGAUGCCUGUUUGCCUGAUUUUGCAUCUGCAGUCAUGCCUACGUGAUCCCUGCAUUUACAUGGACGCCCUCCUUCCGUAUUCUUCUGGCCCAGAUCAUCAUUCAGCCCAUCAUGUCACUGCAGAUGCUCCUCAAAGGAAUUCUGCUAGUCAUUACCUCAGGUGGGAUUGUCAACUUCAUGCCUUUUUUAUUUUCAGAAAUCUCCCAUCUUAAAACACAGGUAAUAUUUUAAUUGAUAUCAUAAUAAACCUUUUUGUGUGUGUGUGUGUCAUGAGGAUUCUACAUAGUAAUAAAGUAUUUUGGACAGGUUUUAUGGUUCAGAAGACCUGUACUAGGAGGACUUGCUACAUGGACACUCUUAAUAUAUUAUGGUAAGUUUUGCUUUUUUGAUUCUAAAAAUAUAAGCUUUUUAAUAAUAAAUAUGCUAUUUAAAGAAGUGGUUCAUCCAGAAUUAUAACUGUCUUCAUUGGCAUCUGGUUCCAUAAAGAAACUAAUGUUCAUGGAACCUUUUCAUUCAACAAAUGGAUCUUUAAAAUAAACAAAAAAAAAAAAAAUUCAAAUCUUCGGAAAAGAAAAAAAAUGGUUCUUUUAAGAACAUUUCACUGAAAGGUUCUCUGGACCAAAAAGUUUUCAUGGCAUCAGUUUGAAAGCCCCUUUUUGUAACAUUUAUUUUUAAGACUGCAUAUAAAUACCAAAAAAGCAGGCCAUAUGCAUGCUUGUGUGGGUUUUUCUGGGGUGAACUAUCUCCAUUAAUGCUUUUCUAAGAUUAUGCACCUUCAGCUACAGCAGAAGAAGCCAGCUAGGUUAUCAUUUGUUACAAAUUUGUGCCCUUCAGUUUAAUUUAAAUGCAAGACUACUGUCAAAGUCAAAGUUAACAAUACAAAGCCCUCCCUGUUCAUUUGUCAAAGCAAAAGCACUUACCGUUUUUAAAAUGACCCAGAAAGAGCUGAACCUAACGACUUCCAUCUCAAGUACAUGCAGACGGGAGAUAGACGGAGACAUCUGCGGUCCGUCUCCCUCCUGAGCUGCCCGCUUGUCGUCCGUCCCUGAUGUCUCUCUGAUUUUAGCACACCCUGAAAAACUCUCCAACACACUGACGUUUCAUCUAAUCAUCUGUAAAGAAGUUAUUGAGUUACCAAUCAGCACUAUGUUACUCAGGAGACCCAAAGCAAUUAUGUUGGAGCAGAUGAGAUGAAAGGAGAUGGCUACAGGAGAUGAGAUCUCAUGUCGGCCUCUUCGGAGACCCAGAAUGCUCUGCUGCAGCUCUGCCACUAUAACAGAACUCUGUCUUUCACUCAUAUCACUGCAGUUUACCCUCCUCCACUGAUAGCAGUCCGUGUUUUACAACAGACUCGCAUUGGCUUUCCAUUCUGGAUGAAUCAGUUGUUAUCACAUACUCUUUCCUAAUCAAACACAGAACAGUCCACUUAGUCUGCUUAAAAAGUCUCUGGUAUUCUCUGGUAUUCUGUCUCUUUGUUGACAGCAAGUUUGGCUUUUUUGCAUGUCAGAAAACACAUUACAAAAAGUAAUUUAAAAAAAGUAAAAUAAAAUAAAUAAAUAAAUAAAAAAAAUAGGCCUACAUCUAAUAUGUAUGUAUUUGAAUUGCAGAGUAUAAAAUCUCCAUCCAUUUGGAUUACACAGUUUUAGCAUAAAUAAACUAAUAAACUUCUUCUCAUUAAUAUUUUUCAGAACUUAAUGAAACAGGUAAGAUUUGUGUAAAAGUACUAAUAAAUUAAAUGUACAAUGGCCAGGUUUAAAUAUUUAUCAUUAAUAAAUUAAAAUACAUUUUAAGUUUCAAUUUCAUAUAUUUUAACUGGGUAUUGCUUGUUCUAGGACUUGCCAUAUUAAAUACAAAUUGAAAAAUAUAUAUUUAAUAUAUAUUUA
ensembl:lncRNA